rnacentral:rRNA from 1 species
GCCCAGUGACAUAAUUGUUCAACGGCCGCGGUACCCUAACCGUGCAAAGGUAGCAUAAUCACUUGCCUAUUAAUUGUAGGCUAGAAUGAAUGGGUUAACGAAAUAAAGACUGUCUCAAUUAAUUACCUAAAAAUUAUUCUCUACCCGAAGAAAGAUAGAUAACCUCGGAGGACAAGAAGACCCUAUAGAGCUUAAUUUCAAUUACAGAACUAAACUAUAAAAAUAUUCGGUUGGGGCGACCCAGGGCUAAACAAUCACCCAUUAAAUAGAAGAUAAAUAAAUCUAAUAAAUGACCCUCUAAAGAUCACAAGAACAAGCUACCUUAGGGAUAACAGGCUAAUCCCACUUAAGAGUCCUUAUCAACAGUGGGGGUUGGCACCUCGAUGUUGGCUUAGGGUAUCUAUAUAGCGCAAAAGUUAUAUAAAGAUGGUUUGUUCAACCAAUAAUUCCCUACAUGAGCUGAGUUCAGACCGGCGUAAGCCAGGUUAGCUUCUAUCCUCGACCACACAAUUCUGCUCCUAGUACGAAAGGACCUGAGUAGAAUAAUUACUUAUUUAAAAGAAUUUAUAUAAUUAAAUAUAAACAAUAACAAAUAUAAACUAUACAAGUGUGUUGGCA